ensembl:snRNA U6 U6 spliceosomal RNA
CUAGAGAUUGUAUGGAUUGGAGAAGGGUAAAGAUAGAGAAUAUUAGCAUGGCCCCUCCGGAAGUAUGACACACAAAUUUGUGAAGGAUUCAUAUUUUUA